CGCAAAAAUAAAGUGAAAGUCCGCUUGUCUGCUCAGUCAGGAAAGAGACACCUCGUGAAACCUGCAUUACAACAACAGCUGUGGGAAUUACAUUGGAUUGAAGAAAUGUAUCUUUGACUGUAGUGGGAGAUUGUGGCUAAAACCAACAGCUACAAGGGACAGGCAAUGUUCCCAUCACCUGAGAAGUACAUGUCUCAUGACAAAGAAGGAUCUGUCUCUCCUGAACCCAGCCAUGUUUCUGUGAAAAGUGACAGCUCCAUGGACAAAAUUAUAAACUUCAGUGACAAACAAC